rnacentral:rRNA from 1 species
CUAAGUUUGAUGGCGACCGGCGCACGGGUGAGUAACACGUAUCCAACCUGCCGAUGACUCGGGGAUAGCCUUUCGAAAGAAAGAUUAAUACCCGAUGGCAUAGUUCUUCCGCAUGGUAGAACUAUUAAAGAAUUUCGGUCAUCGAUGGGGAUGCGUUCCAUUAGGUUGUUGGUGGGGUAACGGCCCACCAAGCCUUCGAUGGAUAGGGGUUCUGAGAGGAAGGUCCCCCACAUUGGAACUGAGACACGGUCCAAACUCCUACGGGAGGCAGCAUG